GUUAGGAUGGCAAAGCCUGGCACAUGCGAAAGACCUAAAACCUUUCUACAGAAGUUCAAAUCCUCUUCCUAAUA
rnacentral:tRNA from 1 species